CCUAGGGGAGGCAGCAGUGAGGAAUAUUGGUCAAUGGGCGCGAGCCUGAACCAGCCAAGUAGCGUGAAGGAUGACUGCCCUACGGGUUGUAAACUUCUUUUAUAAAGGAAUAAAGUGAGGCACGUGUGCCUUUUUGUAUGUACUUUAUGAAUAAGGAUCGGCUAACUCCGUGCCAGCAGCCGCGGUAAUACGGGGGGUGCAAGCGUUGUCCGGAAUCAUUGGGCGUAAAGAGUUCGUAGGUGGCACGUUAAGUCUGGUGUUAAAGGCGGAAGCUCAACUUCCGUAGGGCACUGGAUACUGGCGAGCUUGACUGCGGUAGAGGUAAAGGGAAUGCCUGGUGUAGCGGUGAAAUGCGUAGAUAUCAGGAGGAACAUCGGUGGCGUAAGCGCUUUACUGGGCCGUAAUUGACACUGAGGAACGAAAGCCGGGGUAGCAAAUGGGAUUAGAUACCCGAAUAGUC
rnacentral:rRNA from 1 species